CUUGGGGUGACGCCUUCAAUACCAAGGGGGUUGUUUUACUGGACACAAACACAGCUGACUUGUUCUUCUGCCCUUUCUUCUUGGCUCCGUCGGUGAUUGGUGGCAAAACCAACUCGUGGGCUGCGAGUUUCCUCUCUGCCGCCGCCUUCUGCCACGUGCUGCCAACCCUUCUCUUCGCCUCCGCCGCAGCACUCGGGCCCGGGCCCUUCGCGUCCAUCCCCUGGAC
rnacentral:lncRNA from 1 species